GACGAACGCUGGCGGCGUGCUUAACACAUGCAAGUCGAACGGAAAGGCCCCUUUGGGGGUACUCGAGUGGCGAACGGGUGAGUAACACGUGAGUAACCUGCCCUUGACUUCGGGAUAACUUCAGGAAACUGGGGCUAAUACCGGAUAGGAAUCCUUGCUGCAUGGUGGGGGUUGGAAAGCUUCGGCGGUUUUGGAUGGACUCGCGGCUUAUCAGCUUGUUGGUGGGGUAGUGGCUUACCAAGGCUUUGACGGGUAGCCGGCCUGAGAGGGCGACCGGCCACAUUGGGACUGAGAUACGGCCCAGACUCCUACGGGAGGCAGCAGUGGGGAAUAUUGCACAAUGGGCGGAAGCCUGUUGCAGCAACGCCGCGUGCGGGAUGACGGCCUUCGGGUUGUAAACCGCUUUCAGCAGGGGCGAAGCUUGUGGUGACGGUACCUGCAGAAGAAGCACCGGCUAACUACGUG
rnacentral:rRNA from 1 species